ACGGGUGAGUAACACGUGGGCAACCUGCCCUUGAGACUGGGAUAACUUCGGGAAACCGGAGCUAAUACCGGAUAAUAUAAGGAACCUCCUGGUUCCUUGUUGAAAGAUGGUUUCGGCUACCACUUAAGGAUGGGCCCGCGGCGCAUUAGCUAGUUGGUGAGGUAACGGCUCACCAAGGCGACGAUGCGUAGCCGACCUGAGAGGGUGAUCGGCCACACUGGGACUGAGACACGGCCCAGACUCCUACGGGAGGCAGCAGUAGGGAAUCUUCCACAAUGGACGAAAGUCUGAUGGAGCAACGCCGCGUGAGUGAUGAAGGCCUUCGGGUCGUAAAGCUCUGUUGUUAGGGAAGAACAAGUGCGAGAGUAACUGCUCGCACCUUGACGGUACCUAACCAGAAAGCCACGGCUAACUACGUGCCAGCAGCCGCGGUAAUACGUAGGUGGCAAGCGUUAUCCGGAAUUAUUGGGCGUAAAGCGCGCGCAGGUGGUUUCUUAAGUCUGAUGUGAAAGCCCACGGCUCAACCGUGGAGGGUCAUUGGAAGCUGGGGAGCUUGAGUGCAGAAGAGGAAAGUGGAAUUCC
rnacentral:rRNA from 1 species